GAGGAUAUAGCUCAAAUGGUAGAGCAUGUGCUUAGCAUGCAUAAGGUUCUAGGUUCAAUCCCCAGUACCUCCU
rnacentral:tRNA from 1 species